UACGGAGGGAGCAAGCGUUAAUCGGAAUCACUGGGCGUAAAGCGCACGUAGGCGGCUUGGUAAGUCACAUGUGAAAGCCCUCGGCUCAACCGGGGAACUGGGUGUGAUACUGCCUUGCUUGAGUCCUGGAGAGGGUGGCGGAAUUCCCGGUGUAGGAGUGAAAUCCGUAGGUAUCGGGAGGAACACCAGUGGCGAAGGCGGCCACCUGGACAGGUACUGACGCUGAGGUUCGAAAGUUUGGGUAGCAAACAGG
rnacentral:rRNA from 1 species